rnacentral:rRNA from 1 species
UACGAAGGGGGCUAGCGUUGUUCGGAAUUACUGGGCGUAAAGCGCACGUAGGCGGAUUGUUUAGUUAGGGGUGAAAUCCCGGGGCUCAACCCCGGAACUGCCUUUGAUACUGGCGAUCUUGAGUCCGGAAGAGGUGAGUGGAAUCCUAGUGUAGAGGUGGAAUUCGUAGAUAUUAGGAAGAACACCAGUGGCGAAGGCGGCUCACUGGUCCGGUACUGACGCUGAGGUGGCGAAAGCGAUGGGA